ensembl:miRNA
AUUGGUGGUCUCAGGGAGUGUACUUCCUGGGGCCUCUGGGCAUAUAAUUCCUGUGGCCUCUGGGUGUGUACCCUCUGUGGCUUCCAGGUU